CUUCGGCGAAGCUCAGAAUUGAAGCCCCGGUAAACGGCGGCCGUAACAAUAACGGUCCUAAGGUAGCGAAAUUCCUUGUCGGGUAAGUUCCGACCUGCACGAAUGGCGUAAUGAUGGCCAGGCUGUCUCCACCCGAGACUCAGUGAAAUUGAACUCGCUGUGAAGAUGCAGUGUACCCGCGGCAAGACGGAAAGACCCCGUGAACCUUUACUAUAGCUUGACACUGAACAUUGAGCCUUGAUGUGUAGGAUAGGUGGGAGGCUUUGAAGUGUGGACGCCAGUCUGCAUGGAGCCGACCUUGAAAUACCACCCUUUAAUGUUUGAUGUUCUAACGUUGACCCGUAAUCCGGGUUGCGGACAGUGUCUGGUGGGUAGUUUGACUGGGGCGGUCUCCUCCUAAAGAGUAACGGAGGAGCACGAAGGUUGGCUAAUCCUGGUCGGACAUCAGGAGGUUAGUGCAAUGGCAUAAGCCAGCUUGACUGCGAGCGUGACGGCGCGAGCAGGUGCGAAAGCAGGUCAUAGUGAUCCGGUGGUUCUGAAUGGAAGGGCCAUCGCUCAACGGAUAAAAGGUACUCCGGGGAUAACAGGCUGAUACCGCCCAAGAGUUCAUAUCGACGGCGGUGUUUGGCACCUCGAUGUCGGCUCAUCACAUCCUGGGGCUGAAGUAGGUCCCAAGGGUAUGGCUGUUCGCCAUUUAAAGUGGUACGCGAGCUGGGUUUAGAACGUCGUGAGACAGUUCGGUCCCUAUCUGCCGUGGGCGCUGGAGAACUGAGGGGGGCUGCUCCUAGUACGAGAGGACCGGAGUGGACGCAUCACUGGUGUUCGGGUUGUCAUGCCAAUGGCACUGCCCGGUAGCUAAAUGCGGAAGAGAUAAGUGCUGAAAGCAUCUAAGCACGAAACUUGCCCCGAGAUGAGUUCUCCCUGACUCCUUGAGAGUCCUGAAGGAACGUUGAAGACGACGACGUUGAUAGGCCGGGUGUGUAAGCGCAGCGAUGCGUUGAGCUAACCGGUACUAAUGAACCGUG
rnacentral:rRNA from 1 species